AGAGUUUGAUCCUGGCUUAGGAUGAACGCUGGCGGCGUGCCUAACACAUUCAAGUCGAACGGUGUACUUUAGUAGCAAUACUGAGGUAGCAUAGUGGCGGACGGGUGAGUAACGCGUGAGCAACCCGCCUUUCAGAGGGGGGAUAACACAGGGAAACUUGUGCUAAUACCGCAUAACGUAUACUGGGGGCAUCCCCGGGAUACCAAAGGAGCAAUCUGCUGAAAGAAGGGCUCGCGUCCGAUUAGAUAGUUGGCGGUGUAACGGACCACCAAGUCUGCGAUCGGUAGCCGGACUGAGAGGUUGAACGGCCACAUUGGAACUGAGAAACGGUCCAGACUCCUACGGGAGGCAGCAGUGGGGAAUAUUGGGCAAUGGGCGAAAGACCCUGACCCAGCGACGCCGCGUGAAGGAAGACGGUCUUCGGAGUUGUAAACUUCAGUUAUUACGGGACGAAAGAAAUGACGGUACCGUAAGAGAAAGCCACGGCUAACUACGUGCCAGCAGCGGC
rnacentral:rRNA from 1 species